CCAAAUUUUUGUCAUAUACAGAAAUAAUUGAAAGUCUGACUUUUUCUUAUUCCUGUUGCAAUUUCAGAAAAAGCUUUCCUUACAUACGUGGCAGGCUUCCACACGUCUGAAGACACAGAGGCGAACAGUGGAAGUAGUGUAAGGAGAGAAAAAGGAAAAUUCAGCACAGACAACUAUGGAAUGCCAAAGGAGGUGAUGACACUGAAAGGAACCAACUCAAGACAACUAAGGCCAAAUAACAUAACCAUUAAAGAACCCUCCCACAAGAGGAGGGUGAGCAUCUUGGACCGGAAUGUACAUCCCAUCUACUUGCUAAAGUCUGAGGUGCCCUAUCCUCUCCUAAAUACACAAUUUUUUCCCAUUGUGUUUGUUCUCUGAAAAAUGCAGGGAGGGAAAAUCCUCGAAAGUUCUGAGAAUGAUAGUGUCUAUAUGAAACACCCUGAAAUCUGUAGUGUCUCUGAGCACCCUGGUAUCUGUUUCCUUUCACUGACAAUGAUAGAUUUAUCUUUUCUUAUAAAAUAUUAAAACUGUGGGGAAAAGUCUGUAUAGCCAUUGUCUAGUCUUGCUGUUUUACCAAACAGUCUUUGUAGAGCUGAAAAACUCCUACAAGAAUUCCUGCAAAGGGAUUUCCUUUUCUCCAUACGGAUGAACCCUAAGGUCAUGAUCACAGAUGAUUGUGUUCAGUUAUAAUUCCAGGACCCCUAAAUUCUACCAGUGUCAGUAAUUCACUUACAGUAAUUCAAAUAGAUGUGAUUAUAUUCAUUUUAUGAAAAACAUGUAUAUUCAGCUCUAUUCUGGGGGGAAGAAUUUUCUCUUCACUUUAAAUCCAAGCAGUGGAUAAAGUUUAUCAUACUAUGAGAAACCCUAAUUAUGUUCUUUUCUACUUUUGUGAUACCCUUCUCCUACUCUUCUUUGGAUGUCAUGGGUAUGAGCCAUCUCAGUAACCACUCAGAUCAUCAGUGGGUUGAGGAUGAAUCAACAUGAUUAAUUGUAAGCAGAGUGUAUUUCAAGGGGUAUGGUCAUUUUUCUCCCAGAAAACAAGUGCAUCAUUUUUUACCAAUAUAUUCCUGCUUGUUUAUUCCUGCUUGUACAUUGUUUAUGUUGGUUGAUCUACAUCAAUACACAACUCUAGGAUUUGUUUUCUUUGGGAUCUGUUGUCCCCCUACAAGCAACAUACAAAAAAAUUGCUAUCUGUAAUGGAUUUUUUAAAGUGCAAGAGGCUUGAAAAACUUCACAGGAAAACUUCAGUGCCAGGAAAUUAAUCGAGUAUCUUUCUUCAUUCAAGCGUGUUACUCUUAGAACCCUUGAGGAAUACUUGCUCUAUACAUGACUGAAUUUAUAAUUUUACCCACAAGACUUUAGUGAGCUCUCCCUUGGUCCCUUUGGGUUAUUCACUGUGGUUCCUUGUUUCAUCGCAUUUGUUUUGUUUUCUCUUACUAUAAUUUACUUUGCAAGUUAGUCCAAGCAAAGGGGCCUGUGGAGGAGAAGAAAUGGUAACAGAAGAAUGAGGAGAAUAUGCAUUCACCAAAGUAGAAUGAUAAAACAAAUGUUCACUCUAAUUAUAGUUCCUUGCUGCCUAAACUUUUCUGAUAGAUCUAGCUUAUUCUAAAAUUCCUUUUAGAGGCUCUAAAAAUUCAAACUCUACCAGGUCUCAAGAGUUACCAUUUGCAAAUUCUUUGAGAAACCACCCACACUCGUUUGGUUAUCUAUUUUAUAACUUCCAGAAACUUUUAAGAAACACAGUUCAAAAUUACUAUACCUUUUAUUCAUUUUUAAACAAUUUAUCUUCUCUUCUUUCCCCCCAAGCCUUUUUUGUGCAAGCUUGUCACAACAAAGAAAGCUCAGUUAUAGUCCUCCGCUUCACAGUGCAGUUCCCGUUUUCAU
rnacentral:lncRNA from 1 species